UUGGCUGUUUUUUCGAUUUACAGUUCGUCAAAUUUGAUUUGUGUUCAAAGAGUGGGUAUUGGUGGAUGAGUUAAAUUUGAAGUGAUAAAAUUUCCUAGAGACUGAAGGGGUUGCUGAUAGGUUUUCGAUUCGACCAAGAGGAGGAGCAAGGGGACGAGAGGAGCAUGAUUCUGGUGGUUUGAUGGCUGUUCUGCAUCUACCUGGAAAGGGUACUCCUGUUGUCUUUCAGUUUUGGAUAAUAGGAUUUUGAAUAGAGACAAGCAGAGAGGAUAUUUAGUUUUUGGGGUCUUUAUUAUACGCAUCUGAGUUUAUGUCAUUUAUACUUAACAGAACAAGAGAGAAAGAAAGAGGGUGAGGGAGGUGGGGAUUUUGAAUAAGGAUCCCGAGACCCUGAAGGAGCAGAUUGAUAAGUUGAAUAAGCAAAGUAAGAUUACCUAAAGCUUUUUGUUCAAAGUCAUAAGUCUUCUUUCAUCUGUCUCAAACCAAGAAGUCUGUUGAUAGAAUGGUCAUAAAUAUUUAUAGAUCCAGUAUUUUGGAUAUCUAAAAACUAUAGAAAGACUGAAAGUGAUGCUUAUCUAAAAACUAAACUUGGUGAAACAAAGUGUGAGCUGUGUUUGUUUUAUUCAUCAGCUUAUAUUUUUACUUAUAUGAGUUCUAGGUUUCUUUCAAUUUCACUUUGGACCUUACUGGAACAUGUUGUGCAAUAUUGUUAGGCUAUUCUGAUAUGAUUAUCUUCUCUGUUGGUGAAGAUUGUUCUUGAAUGGAGGGAUUUAGACUUUAGAAGUUUGCUACUACGUUUUCUCAAGCAAUGUUAUGUUUCCUUAUGCCUUUUCCCUUUUAAGCCUCAUCCCCUUUCUUCAGCUUCCAUCUUCGUGCUAUUUGCAAUUUUUGGAAAGGUUAAUUAGAGUUCUGGAAAAGCAAGUUGACAUGCUAAAUUUGGUUGGUGAUAUAGAUAAGUUUGCUGAUCAUUAGUUUCUAUAUUUUUUGAUGAAAUUAAGCUAGAGGAAGAAGACUGGAGGUUCUGGAUUGAGAAGAUCACUUUAAUUUCUUUGGGUUUGUAUGCCUGCUGCUUUUUUAGAUGCCUAGGUAGCUCUUAUUAGGAGCUAAACAUGAGAUUAAGUAGAAACUGAUAUUGAACCUCUUCAUCAGAGUCAGAACAUUAUAAACAGAUAUAUUAAUUAAUCAAUGAUAUAUUGUGGGGUUCAGACUGAUCAGGACCUCAAGACGUAACAAAAUGUUUUACAUAAGUACAAAUAAAAAGAUUAUCCCUGCUAUUCCAUGUCAGCCCAUAAUAAGAUGUUCCGGUUUUUCUCAACAAAUUGGUAAUUGUCGACAACAACCUUCUGGCAAUAACAAAUGCACUUCACAUUAAGAUCCCUGCAUUUUCUAACAUAUAUUGCUAUUCCAAAUCUGUUCCCUUUAAAAAAGUAAGGGUCCAGACUACUUAGCAACUAUGAGUCUAUGACUGAUAUCUGCAUAUAUUGAUUUCUACCAAACUAUUGUGCAGCCUGUGCUAUAUUAAUGACCCCUUUACACUGCAAAUAUGAUUAUGGGAUUAUGAAGUUUAUUAAGUGGUCACGUUUUACUAUUUUCAAUUACAUUUUAAAAACUAAUAAAAGCUUACUGGUUUCUGUUGAUUUCAGCU